rnacentral:lncRNA from 1 species
CGGCAGUCCAUCGCUGGAGCACAGGUGAGGAGGUUCAGGAGGGACCCCGGGACAGCAGUCCCAGGGUGACGGCAGUCCAUCGCUGGAGCACAGGUGAGGAGAUGAUGCAGGAGGGACCCCGGGACAGCAGUCCCAGGAUGACGGCAGUCCAUCGCUGGAGCACAGGUGAGGAGGUUCAGGAGGGACCCCGGGACAGCAGUCCCAGGGUGACGGCAGUCCAUCGCUGGAGCACAGGUGAGGAGAUGAUGCAGGAGGGACCCCGGGACAGCAGUCCCAGGAUGACGGCAGUCCAUCGCUGGAGCACAGGUGAGGAGAUGCAGGAGGGACCCCGGGACAGCAGUCCCAGGGUGACGGCAGUCCAUCGCUGGAGCACAGGUGAGGAGAUGAUGCAGGAGGGACCCCGGGACAGCAGUCCCAGGAUGACGGCAGUCCAUCGCUGGAGCACAGGUGAGG